UUAAAUAAGGACAUUACACAUGUGAAUCAAACAUUUAUUAUAUAAGAGUAUAAUAAAUAAGUGGUGAAGAAGUGAGUAAAAAAUAGAAAUAAUGAACUAUAAAUUGUAUUAAAUGUAUAAUAAAUUAAUAUAUUUAAGGAUAUAUUAUAUUAAAGAUUAUGAGAAUAAUUGUUUAUAGUCAAGUCUAUAAUAGUUUAAGGUAGUAGGAUAUUAAGAGGAUAACCUAGCCAACGAUCUAUAAUCAAUAAUGAAAGUUAUAAUGAUCACAUUGAUUAUAUUAUCAUAUCUAUAGAUACAGCAGUGGGGAAUAUUAAACAAUGAUCGAAAGAUUGAUUUAGUUACUUAUUAAGAUGAAUAUUUAAUUGAUAAAAAAUAAAAUCUAUAUAUAAUUAAAAUAAUGAUAUUAAUUACUUUAAUAUUUAAAGUAUUUAUUAAUAUUUAUUAAUUUAACUAUUAAUAAUUAUAUAAUAGUCUUAACAAAUAAUUGUGCCAGCACUUGCGGUUAUACAAUGAAG
rnacentral:rRNA from 1 species